GUGGGGAAUAUUGGACAAUGGGCGAAAGCCUGAUCCAGCCAUGCCGCGUGUGUGAAGAAGGUCUUCGGAUUGUAAAGCACUUUAAGUUGGGAGGAAGGGCAGUAAGUUAAUACCUUGCUGUUUUGACGUUACCGACAGAAUAAGCACCGGCUAACUUCGUGCCAGCAGCCGCGGUAAUACGAAGGGUGCAAGCGUUAAUCGGAAUUACUGGGCGUAAAGCGCGCGUAGGUGGUUUUGUAAGUUGGAGGUGAAAUCCCCGGGCUCAACCUGGGAACUGCUGCCAAAACUGCAUGACUAGAGUACGGUAGAGGGUAGUGGAAUUUCCUGUGUAGCGGUGAAAUGCGUAGAUAUAUGAAGGAACACCAAUGGCGAAGGCGACUACCUGGACUGAUACUGACACUGAGGUGCGAAAGCGUGGGGAGCAAACAGGAUUAGAAACCCCGGUAGUCC
rnacentral:rRNA from 1 species